UCCUUGGCCUCUNAUCAAUAAAUGAGAAAACAUUCCACAAAGCCUGAUAGAGGUAGACCGAUACUGGAAAUAAAACAAAAAACAAAAAACAAAAAAACAAAACAAAACAAACAAACAACCAAGACACUGAACCCAGAGUGUAUAUAAGGACAAGCAAAGGAGCUGGGGAGUGGAGUGUAGGCACCAUCACCUGAAAGACGUUGUGACAGGAAGACAAUUCUAUUCCCAACCAAAAUGAAGCUGUUUCUAACUGCUAUGUUUGUGACUUACCCUAGUCUGUGUGCAUGCAGAAGAAGCUAGUUCUAUGGGANGGAACUUUAAUGUAGAAAAGAUUAAUGGGGAAUGGUAUACUAUUAUCCUGGCCUCUGACAAAAGAGAAAAGAUAGAAGAACAUGGCAGCAUGAGAGUUUUUGUGGAGCAUAUCCAUGUGUUGGAGAAUUACUUAGCUUUAAAAUUCCAUAUUGUGUAAGUGAGAUGCUCCUAGCUGAGAAAGAAGAAAUGAAAACCUGUAUAGAUGAAGAGUGCUCCAAAAUAUUUUUGGUUGCUGACAAAACAGAAAAGGAUGGUGAAUAUUCUGUGAGAUGAUGGAUUCAAUACAUUUACUAUACUUAAGACUGACUAUGAUAAUUAUAUUAUGAUUCAUCUCAUUAACAAAAAGGAUGGGAAAAACCUCACAACUGAUGGGGCUCUAUGAUCGCUGCCUCCAGGCCCAAGAAUGAAGAAUGGCCUGAGCCUCCAGCUGGGCAAUAUCCAAUGAGAGCAAGGAGGAGGUUUGGUGGUCAUGAAUAAAACCCUUCCCAAAGCAUUAGUAUUAUGCCCACAAAUUACAAUAAAAAAUGUUUGAUAAGGAAUCUUUGAGGAAAGCUUGAAAAUUGGCUUUGAAUUAUCUGGAUUUGUGAUCUAGUCAUACUUUGAGCUUUGAAGUAAAGUGACCCAAUCACUUAGGUAAGAAAACAAGGAUUUGAAUUUGACAUAGUUGAUGUAUGCUUAUGUGAAAAGGGCUCAACGAAGGGUUCAAUAUCAUUAACAGACAGAGUAGCAGGAUGUGGUAUAACUGCUCUUCAGUGUCUGUGGUCCCCCUCCAUCCCACUCAAGAUAAUAUAUUCUUAAUCUGAACUCCAUACAAACUUGGCUUCUUACCUGAGAGUGGAUGUACCGGAACACCACUUCUCAACCAGUCUGGAGAGCAGACUCCUCUGGCCCUCCCUUCUCAACUAGUCUAAGACAUCACUCAUAUAAAGUGUGAAGACUUUAAAUGUAUCCAAGGCGCUUUUCAUUAUUCCACAAUUUACCUAACAUUCUUCAGAGUUUCUUAUGACAACAAUUGUGAAACAAGCCUCAGAUUCCAUUAUGGUCAUUUAUUCAAUCAAAGAAGUACUUAAGGAGUUUCUGUAUUCUUUCUUCCUGGAUUACACAGUGUUGAGUGGAGACUUCUUACCAGGACUCCAGCAUAAUUCCUUCCUAUUCAUACAGCAACCGAUAACAAGUUCUGUGAUCUGCUUUCCAUCAUGUCUCACAGAGAAGUGCAAUCCUGGUCUCUCCAGCAUGUUACCUAGGAUAACUCAUCAAGAAUCAAAGUCUUUCUUUAAAUUUCUCUU